AUCCGUAACUUCGGGAAAAGGAUUGGCUCUGAGGGUUGGGCCUAGGGGUCUUUUUGGAGAACUUGUGGCGGCCUACGUUGGGCUGCGUCUGGACCUU